rnacentral:rRNA from 1 species
UCCAGACUCCUACGGGAGGCAGCAGUGAGGAAUAUUGGUCAAUGGGCGAGAGCCUGAACCAGCCAAGUCGCGUGAGGGAGUACUGCCCUAUGGGUUGUAAACCUCUUUUGUCGGGGAGCAAAAGCCGGACGUGUCCGGCUGUGAGAGUACCCGAAGAAAAAGCAUCGGCUAACUACGUGCCAGCAGCCGCGGUAAUACGUAGGGGGCAAGCGUUAUCCGGAUUUACUGGGUGUAAAGGGAGCGUAGACGGCCAGACAAGUCUGAAGUGAAAAUCCAGCGCUUAACGCUGGAAGUGCUUUGGAAACUGCCGGGCUGGAGUGCAGGAGGGGCAGGCGGAAUUCCUGGUGUAGCGGUGGAAUGCGUAGAUAUUAGGAGGAACACCAGUGGCGAAGGCGAUUUGCUGGACUGUAACCGACACUGAGGCACGAAAGCGUGGGGAGCAAGCAGGAUUAGAUACCCCCGUAC